rnacentral:tRNA from 1 species
GCCGGGAUGGCGGAAUUGGCAGACGCGCUGGACUUAGGAUCCAGUGCCGAAAGGCGUGCAGGUUCAAGUCCUGUUCCCGGCACCA